UACGGAGGGGGCGAGCGUUAUUCGGAAUUACUGGGCGUAAAGGGCGCGUAGGCGGCGUGGUAAGUCACUUGUGAAAUCUCUGAGCUUAACUCAGAACGGCCAAGUGAUACUGCUGUGCUAGAGUGCAGAAGGGGCAAUCGGAAUUCUUGGUGUAGCGGUGAAAUGCGUAGAUAUCAAGAGGAAUACCUGAGGUGAAGACGGGUUGCUAGGCUGACACUGACGCCGAGGCGCGAAAGCCAGGGGAGCAAACGGG
rnacentral:rRNA from 1 species